rnacentral:rRNA from 1 species
GGGUUGUGAGGUUAAGCGACUAAGCGUACACGGUGGAUGCCCUGGCAGUCAGAGGCGAUGAAGGACGUGCUAAUCUGCGAUAAGCGUCGGUAAGGUGAUAUGAACCGUUAUAACCGGCGAUUUCCGAAUGGGGAAACCCAGUGUGUUUCGACACACUAUCAUUAACUGAAUCCAUAGGUUAAUGAGGCGAACCGGGGGAACUGAAACAUCUAAGUACCCCGAGGAAAAGAAAUCAACCGAGAUUCCCCCAGUAGCGGCGAGCGAACGGGGAGGAGCCCAGAGCCUGAAUCAGUGUGUGUGUUAGUGGAAGCGUCUGGAAAGGCGCGCGAUACAGGGUGACAGCCCCGUACACAAAAAUGCACAUGCUGUGAGCUCGAUGAGUAGGGCGGGACACGUGGUAUCCUGUCUGAAUAUGGGGGGACCAUCCUCCAAGGCUAAAUACUCCUGACUGACCGAUAGUGAACCAGUACCGUGAGGGAAAGGCGAAAAGAACCCCGGCGAGGGGAGUGAAAAAGAACCUGAAACCGUGUACGUACAAGCAGUGGGAGCCUCUUUUAUGGGGUGACUGCGUACCUUUUGUAUAAUGGGUCAGCGACUUAUAUUCUGUAGCAAGGUUAACCGAAUAGGGGAGCCGAAGGGAAACCGAGUCUUAACUGGGCGUUAAGUUGCAGGGUAUAGACCCGAAACCCGGUGAUCUAGCCAUGGGCAGGUUGAAGGUUGGGUAACACUAACUGGAGGACCGAACCGACUAAUGUUGAAAAAUUAGCGGAUGACUUGUGGCUGGGGGUGAAAGGCCAAUCAAACCGGGAGAUAGCUGGUUCUCCCCGAAAGCUAUUUAGGUAGCGCCUCGUGAAUUCAUCUCCGGGGGUAGAGCACUGUUUCGGCAAGGGGGUCAUCCCGACUUACCAACCCGAUGCAAACUGCGAAUACCGGAGAAUGUUAUCACGGGAGACACACGGCGGGUGCUAACGUCCGUCGUGAAGAGGGAAACAACCCAGACCGCCAGCUAAGGUCCCAAAGUCAUGGUUAAGUGGGAAACGAUGUGGGAAGGCCCAGACAGCCAGGAUGUUGGCUUAGAAGCAGCCAUCAUUUAAAGAAAGCGUAAUAGCUCACUGGUCGAGUCGGCCUGCGCGGAAGAUGUAACGGGGCUAAACCAUGCACCGAAGCUGCGGCAGCGACGCUUAUGCGUUGUUGGGUAGGGGAGCGUUCUGUAAGCCUGUGAAGGUGUGCUGUGAGGCAUGCUGGAGGUAUCAGAAGUGCGAAUGCUGACAUAAGUAACGAUAAAGCGGGUGAAAAGCCCGCUCGCCGGAAGACCAAGGGUUCCUGUCCAACGUUAAUCGGGGCAGGGUGAGUCGACCCCUAAGGCGAGGCCGAAAGGCGUAGUCGAUGGGAAACAGGUUAAUAUUCCUGUACUUGGUGUUACUGCGAAGGGGGGACGGAGAAGGCUAUGUUGGCCGGGCGACGGUUGUCCCGGUUUAAGCGUGUAGGCUGGUUUUCCAGGCAAAUCCGGAAAAUCAAGGCUGAGGCGUGAUGACGAGGCACUACGGUGCUGAAGCAACAAAUGCCCUGCUUCCAGGAAAAGCCUCUAAGCAUCAGGUAACAUCAAAUCGUACCCCAAACCGACACAGGUGGUCAGGUAGAGAAUACCAAGGCGCUUGAGAGAACUCGGGUGAAGGAACUAGGCAAAAUGGUGCCGUAACUUCGGGAGAAGGCACGCUGAUAUGUAGGUGAAGCGACUUGCUCGUGGAGCUGAAAUCAGUCGAAGAUACCAGCUGGCUGCAACUGUUUAUUAAAAACACAGCACUGUGCAAACACGAAAGUGGACGUAUACGGUGUGACGCCUGCCCGGUGC